rnacentral:rRNA from 1 species
UACAGAGGUCUCAAGCGUUGUUCGGAUUCAUUGGGCGUAAAGCGCGUGUAGGCGGCUUGGUAAGUCCGGUGUGAAACCUUGGGGCUCAACCCCAAGCCUGCACUGGAUACUGCCUCGCUUGAGUCCGGGAGGGGAGAGCGGAAUUCCUAGUGUAGCGGUGAAAUGCGCAGAUAUUAGGAAGAACACCGGUGGCGAAGGCGGCUCUCUGGAACGGUACUGACGCUGAGACGCGAAAGCGUGGGGAGCGAACAGG